ensembl:lncRNA
GUGCUUUAACACUUCUGAGAUCUGAGUCAUGAAUCAGCUGAGCGGCGAUCACAGCUCACUGGCGCUGUACCUGUGUGUGUGUGUGUGUGUGUGUGUGUGUGUUGUGUCUCGUCUCAGCCGGGUGUGAAGUUGUAAUAAGAGGUGAAAAUUCGUUUAGUUUUCUCAAAAGCUCAGCACCAGGGUGUUUUUAUGAUUCUUCCAGACCCUAGUUCAACUAUCAUGAGAGCUUCACCCAGGGAUAAACGAAUUAAAUACGAUUCACGUCAUUGCCACACGUCCGCCUCGGCACACAGGCCGGGUGAAGGCGAGGGUGCCAAUACUUUUAUCUAUGCAGAAGACGUACGGUAAGAAGAUGUGCAGCUUUGUUGGACGACGUUAAGGAACAACAAAAAGGUGUUCAGUGGCUGAAUCUCAAACUCUGUUUUGUGCUCUGUACUGGGUAGGGCACUGGCUAGGGCACUAGGUAGGACACUGGGUAGGACACUGGGAAGGGCACUGGGUAGGGCACUGGGUAGGACACUGGGUAGGGCACUAGCUAGGGCACUAGGAAGGGCACUGGGUAGGGCACUAGCUAGGGAACUAG